GUACACAAAAAUGCACAUAUUGUGAGCUCGAUGAGUAGGGCGGGACACGUGGUAUCCUGUCUGAAUAUGGGGGGACCAUCCUCCAAGGCUAAAUACUCCUGACUGACCGAUAGUGAACCAGUACCGUGAGGGAAAGGCGAAAAGAACCCCGGCGAGGGGAGUGAAAAAGAACCUGAAACCGUGUACGUACAAGCAGUGGGAGCCUCUUUAUGGGGUGACUGCGUACCUUUUGUAUAAUGGGUCAGCGACUUAUAUUCUGUAGCAAGGUUAACCGAAUAGGGGAGCCGAAGGGAAACCGAGUCUUAACUGGGCGUUAAGUUGCAGGGUAUAGACCCGAAACCCGGUGAUCUAGCCAUGGGCAGGUUGAAGGUUGGGUAACACUAACUGGAGGACCGAACCGACUAAUGUUGAAAAAUUAGCGGAUGACUUGUGGCUGGGGGUGAAAGGCCAAUCAAACCGGGAGAUAGCUGGUUCUCCCCGAAAGCUAUUUAGGUAGCGCCUCGUGAAUUCAUCUCCGGGGGUAGAGCACUGUUUCGGCAAGGGGGUCAUCCCGACUUACCAACCCGAUGCAAACUGCGAAUACCGGAGAAUGUUAUCACGGGAGACACACGGCGGGUGCUAACGUCCGUCGUGAAGAGGGAAACAACCCAGACCGCCAGCUAAGGUCCCAAAGUCAUGGUUAAGUGGGAAACGAUGUGGGAAGGCCCAGACAGCCAGGAUGUUGGCUUAGAAGCAGCCAUCAUUUAAAGAAAGCGUAAUAGCUCACUGGUCGAGUCGGCCUGCGCGGAAGAUGUAACGGGGCUAAACCAUGCACCGAAGCUGCGGCAGCGACACUAUGUGUUGUUGGGUAGGGGAGCGUUCUGUAAGCCUGUGAAGGUGGCCUGUGAGGGUUGCUGGAGGUAUCAGAAGUGCGAAUGCUGACAUAAGUAACGAUAAAGCGGGUGAAAAGCCCGCUCGCCGGAAGACCAAGGGUUCCUGUCCAACGUUAAUCGGGGCAGGGUGAGUCGACCCCUAAGGCGAGGCCGAAAGGCGUAGUCGAUGGGAAACAGGUUAAUAUUCCUGUACUUGGUGUUACUGCGAAGGGGGGACGGAGAAGGCUAUGUUGGCCGGGCGACGGUUGUCCCGGUUUAAGCGUGUAGGCUGGUUUUCCAGGCAAAUCCGGAAAACCAAGGCUGAGGCGUGAUGACGAGGCACUACGGUGCUGAAGCGACAAAUGCCCUGCUUCCAGGAAAAGCCUCUAAGCAUCAGGUAACAUCAAAUCGUACCCCAAACCGACACAGGUGGUCAGGUAGAGAAUACCAAGGCGCUUGAGAGAACUCGGGUGAAGGAACUAGGCAAAAUGGUGCCGUAACUUCGGGAGAAGGCACGCUGAUAUGUAGGUGAAGCGACUUGCUCGUGGAGCUGAAAUCAGUCGAAGAUACCAGCUGGCUGCAACUGUUUAUUAAAAACACAGCACUGUGCAAACACGAAAGUGGACGUAUACGGUGUGACGCCUGCCCGGUGCCGGAAGGUUAAUUGAUGGGGUUAGCGGUAACGCGAAGCUCUUGAUCGAAGCCCCGGUAAACGGCGGCCGUAACUAUAACGGUCCUAAGGUAGCGAAAUUCCUUGUCGGGUAAGUUCCGACCUGCACGAAUGGCGUAAUGAUGGCCAGGCUGUCUCCACCCGAGACUCAGUGAAAUUGAACUCGCUGUGAAGAUGCAGUGUACCCGCGGCAAGACGGAAAGACCCCGUGAACCUUUACUAUAGCUUGACACUGAACAUUGAGCCUUGAUG
rnacentral:rRNA from 1 species